rnacentral:rRNA from 1 species
CCCCUAGAUGUUCUGGGCCGCACGCGCGCUACACUGAACAGUUCAACAAGUCUUAACCUUGGCCGAUAGGUCUGGGUAAUCUUUGAACGCUGUUCGUGAUUGGGAUAGACCUUUGCAAUUAUGGGUCUUCAACGAGGAAUUCCUAGUAAACGCAAGUCAUCAGCUUGCAUUGAUUACGUCCCUGCCCUUUGUACACACCGCCCGUCGCACCUACCGAUUGAAUGGCCCGGUGAAAUCUCGGGACGGCGGCUUGGUCGCUUGCGUCCGACUGCUGAAACUUGAUUAAACCAUAUCAUUUAGAGGAAGGUGAAGUCGUANCA